UACGUAGGGGGCAAGCGUUGUCCGGAUUUAUUGGGCGUAAAGAGCGUGUAGGCGGCCUGAAAGGUCAGCUGUGAAAACUCGAGGCUCAACCUCGAGACGUCGGUUGAAACCAUCUGGCUAGAGUCCGGAAGAGGAGAGUGGAAUUCCCGGUGUAGCGGUGAAAUGCGCAGAUAUCGGGAAGAACACCCGUGGCGAAGGCGGCUCUCUGGGACGGUACUGACGCUGAGACGCGAAAGCGUGGGG
rnacentral:rRNA from 1 species